rnacentral:rRNA from 1 species
UACGUAGGGGGCAAGCGUUGUCCGGAAUCAUUGGGCGUAAAGCGCGUGUAGGCGGCUAUGCAAGUCGGAUGUGAAAGCCCUCGGCUCAACCGGGGAAGUGCACCCGAAACUGCAAGCUAGAGUCUCGGAGAGGAUCGUGGAAUUCUCGGUGUAGAGGUGAAAUUCGUAGAUAUCGAGAGGAACACCGGUGGCGAAGGCGGCGAUCUGGACGAUGACUGACGGCUGAGACGCGAAAGCGUGGGGAGCAAACAGG